rnacentral:rRNA from 1 species
ACUUAAAUUGAAGAGUUUGAUCAUGGCUCAGAUUGAACGCUGGCGGCAGGCCUAACACAUGCAAGUCGAGCGGUAGCACAGAGAGCUUGCUCUCGGGUGACGAGCGGCGGACGGGUGAGUAAUGUCUGGGAAACUGCCUGAUGGAGGGGGAUAACUACUGGAAACGGUAGCUAAUACCGCAUAAUGUCGCAAGACCAAAGUGGGGGACCUUCGGGCCUCAUGCCAUCAGAUGUGCCCAGAUGGGAUUAGCUAGUAGGUGGGGUAACGGCUCACCUAGGCGACGAUCCCUAGCUGGUCUGAGAGGAUGACCAGCCACACUGGAACUGAGACACGGUCCAGACUCCUACGGGAGGCAGCAGUGGGGAAUAUUGCACAAUGGGCGCAAGCCUGAUGCAGCCAUGCCGCGUGUGUGAAGAAGGCCUUCGGGUUGUAAAGCACUUUCAGCGGGGAGGAAGGCGUUAAGGUUAAUAACCUUGUCGAUUGACGUUACCCGCAGAAGAAGCACCGGCUAACUCCGUGCCAGCAGCCGCGGUAAUACGGAGGGUGCAAGCGUUAAUCGGAAUUACUGGGCGUAAAGCGCACGCAGGCGGUCUGUCAAGUCGGAUGUGAAAUCCCCGGGCUCAACCUGGGAACUGCAUUCGAAACUGGCAGGCUAGAGUCUUGUAGAGGGGGGUAGAAUUCCAGGUGUAGCGGUGAAAUGCGUAGAGAUCUGGAGGAAUACCGGUGGCGAAGGCGGCCCCCUGGACAAAGACUGACGCUCAGGUGCGAAAGCGUGGGGAGCAAACAGGAUUAGAUACCCUGGUAGUCCACGCCGUAAACGAUGUCGAUUUGGAGGUUGUGCCCUUGAGGCGUGGCUUCCGGAGCUAACGCGUUAAAUCGACCGCCUGGGGAGUACGGCCGCAAGGUUAAAACUCAAAUGAAUUGACGGGGGCCCGCACAAGCGGUGGAGCAUGUGGUUUAAUUCGAUGCAACGCGAAGAACCUUACCUGGUCUUGACAUCCACAGAACUUUCCAGAGAUGGAUUGGUGCCUUCGGGAACUGUGAGACAGGUGCUGCAUGGCUGUCGUCAGCUCGUGUUGUGAAAUGUUGGGUUAAGUCCCGCAACGAGCGCAACCCUUAUCCUUUGUUGCCAGCGGUUAGGCCGGGAACUCAAAGGAGACUGCCAGUGAUAAACUGGAGGAAGGUGGGGAUGACGUCAAGUCAUCAUGGCCCUUACGACCAGGGCUACACACGUGCUACAAUGGCAUAUACAAAGAGAAGCGACCUCGCGAGAGCAAGCGGACCUCAUAAAGUAUGUCGUAGUCCGGAUUGGAGUCUGCAACUCGACUCCAUGAAGUCGGAAUCGCUAGUAAUCGUAGAUCAGAAUGCUACGGUGAAUACGUUCCCGGGCCUUGUACACACCGCCCGUCACACCAUGGGAGUGGGUUGCAAAAGAAGUAGGUAGCUUAACCUUCGGGAGGGCGCUUACCACUUUGUGAUUCAUGACUGGGGUGAAGUCGUAACAAGGUAACCGUAGGGGAACCUGCGGUUGGAUCACCUCCUUACCUUAAAGAA